ACCCCUCUUCUAUUGAACGGCUAAAAUGGCCAAAUUAGAAUUAAAAAUAAAUUAGAACUAAUUUACAUAUUCUUAGCCACACUUUUGGGUAAUGUGUACAUGUAUAUUACUACUGUAUUUCAUGUUGCGCUUUGUUUAUAACUUGAAUAAUUGUUUUAACCAUGAAGUAAAGACACUCUAUAUCCAUGGUUAGUAAAUAAGGUAAAUUGCGUACAGUAGCCGUUGACCCACUUUUAAUUUCAAAUUUUGACACUGUGGGCUGGGCAUUUCAUUUCUUAGCCAUUCAGCCAAAAACUGACCAAAAUGCCCUGACGAAACUGAACCCGGUUUGUACGUACGGACCGCGUCGCUGGAAUCCAAGAGAACCGGGUUUGUACGUACACUGUUCAUCGACGAGAAAUGCAUUAAAUAUUUUCUGGGUUUCGGCGAAUUUGACACUUGAGAUUGAAAUUAAAAUUUUUAAAAAUUGGUUGGGCUCAGAAGUUUUUAAUGCUAAAAAGUUUUGACAAAACUAAAACUCAUGAUUACCUAUUAUAAUAUAGAUUAUAUUGUAAGAUAUUUACAUAAUUGAGAUUAGAAUUCUGGGAAAAAAACGAAAAUCAAAAUUGUGUUACGGUGAAGAAUCUGAAGUUUUUAGUUGCUGUUUUACAAAGUUUGAAGGAUUGAAGGGGAGACAAUCUGUGUUCUAGGUAAGAAAUUCGUGUUAAUCCUAUUAAUUACACUUGAGAACGUGAUAUGAAAGUAAUGAUACGUUUUUAAAAAU
rnacentral:sRNA from 1 species